rnacentral:lncRNA from 1 species
AAUCCUAAAUUUAUGUGCUUUAAGUAUGAGAAAAAUAAAUGUCCAUUCAAUACUCCCGAGCGACUUGAGAACUGUUCUCCCCUGAACUAUAGCAGGAAUACCUUGUGAUUUGGAGAAUUCAG